GAUGAACGCUGGCGGCGUGCUUAACACAUGCAAGUCGAACGGAAAGGCCCAAGCUUGCUUGGGUACUCGAGUGGCGAACGGGUGAGUAACACGUGGGUGAUCUGCCCUGCACUUCGGGAUAAGCCUGGGAAACUGGGUCUAAUACCGGAUAGGACCACAUUUUGGAUGGUGUGGUGGAAAGUUUUUCGGUGUGGGAUGAGCUCGCGGCCUAUCAGCUUGUUGGUGGGGUAAUGGCCUACCAAGGCGUCGACGGGUAGCCGGCCUGAGAGGGUGUACGGCCACAUUGGGACUGAGAUACGGCCCAGACUCCUACGGGAGGCAGCAGUGGGGAAUAUUGCACAAUGGGCGCAAGCCUGAUGCAGCGACGCCGCGUGGGGGAUGACGGCCUUCGGGUUGUAAACUCCUUUCGCUAGGGACGAAGCGUUAUGUGACGGUACCUGGAGAAGAAGCACCGGCUAACUGCGUG
rnacentral:rRNA from 1 species